CAGAAAGUCCCUUGUCUCCCACCAGAUGUGGUUUCCCAGCCCCACUAGAGGCAGAAGAAGCAAACAUUGUCCCAUGGACCCCCUACCUCCCCUCAGUUUCAUCUCUUGUCAGUCUUUCAGUUUGCACAGUUUUAAAAAUUAAAAAAAAAAUUAAAAAAUAAAAUAAAAAAUAAAAUAAAAAAAGGUGAAGUCCCCUUUAAUGCAGGUGUAAAACACUUUAAAGGCAUCAUUGCAUCACUAGAGUCUUGACCACUGAUUCACAGAUACUUCUUCUUGUGGUGACGUACUGUUAGGUGCUGAUGUUACAGCUUGCCUGAAAAGUAGCAUCAAACUGCAUUGACACAAGCAUCACAAUAAGGCAAAGACUACAAUGAAGAACGGGUUACCUGACAGCUCAUAAUUGCCAGCCACAUGCUGCUUAGAGAAAGUAGUAUACAUACUGCAGUACAAAGCUCAUUUUCAGAGAAACUGAAUGCAACGCUAUUCCCCUUGGUGUAGUAGGCCCAGAAUUACUGUUUCAGGAUGUUUUGGCAUGGUGGGCACUGGCCAAAGAUAUGGGUAUGCACCAUUGGAAAGAAGAUCUAACUACGUGAUGUUACUUGUUCAUAUGGCAUAAACUCUGAAAGAAGAAAAAACAGGUCUUGAAAAAGGUACCAUGCCUUUCCAAUUGGGAAAUGAUUAUCAGGAACCAUGAGAGUAUUACCAUGCCACAGAGACUGUCACAUGCCAGGAGCUGUUGACAGGCCACAGCUCGUGCUGUUUUUGUAAGACUCUCCAACAUUUUCCUUAACCAUGCUCCCAGGCUGCUGCUGCAGCAGCACUCCUCACUUCCCAGAUCUCUUGGCGAGGCCCAGUACUUCAGAACAGUCUUCACUGGAACUCCUCAUCUCAGGUUCCCUAAAUGAUGAGGGACUAAGUUACUUAUUGAACUGACUUAUUGAAGACCAAACUCUGAUGCUGUAGGCAAAGAAGGCUGGAAGCAAAGAAGGAAGUCUCGUGACUCCCAGCCUGUUUUAUC
ensembl:lncRNA